ACCCGGGCACCCUCCCCGGCAUCUCCCUGCCUUUCCAGAGAUGUUCCCAAUCUCUCCAUCCCUGCAAAAAAAAAAAAAUAAUAGAUGUUGUAUUAUUUAUUGAUUUAUUUGCUAAUUUUUCCCUGGUGAGCUGCAGCGCAGAGGGGUGCCCAGGACCCGUGGGGGUGUUGGGGAUUGGGAGGGCAGGAACGGGGCUUGGACACCGCCCGGAGCAGCUGUGGGAUGGUUCCUGUGGGCACGUGUGUGGGGGUCCCUCGUGGUGCCGUGCGGCCAGAUCCAUGGCCAGGGGAUUGGGGUGGCGGAGCUGGCCCCUGUGCCAGCUGGAAGGUAGCCUUGAGUGCCCACGAGGUGGUCCUGGGUGCCCAUGAGGUGGUUUUGGGUGGCCGGAGAGGGCCUUAGAUGGUGAAGAGAUGGCCUCAGGUGUCCAGGAGAUGGUCUCGGGUGGCUGCAGGGUGGUCCUGGGUGGCUGGGAGGUCACCGUGGAUGUCCGGGAGGUGGCCUCCAGUGGUUUGGGGGCUCAGGAGAUGUUUUUUUGGGUGGCCAAGAGGGGGACCCCUCCCUGCGGGGCCUGCGCCCAUGUGGCCUCACUGCAGGGCCGCACCAUAGGGGCCUGGGGACACAGGGACAGGUGUCCCUGGGGGGGGGGGACACAUGGGGAGGAGACAUCACCCACGCCGUGCCUCACCCCCUUCCUUCUCCUCUCCCUCCGCAGUGCCUCGCCGGAGCCUCCUCGCCGGGAUGAACGGGACGGCCAACCUCACCCCGGGCGGCCGCGGCCACUAUGGCUCCGCCAUCCCGGUGCCACGCUCCGUGCCCCCUGGCAAGCUGCCUGCUGUGGCCCCCCCGGCCCGACACAGCAGCCCGGGGCCCCCCGCCUCCCACCAAGCCUCGUCCCCGCGGCUGGCCUCCGGCCCCAAAAGCCUUAAACCUAAACCCAGAGCCGCCACUGGCCACGAGCCAGCCGGGGAGCCCAGCCCCGGCGUCCCCCCCCGUGGGGGGCAGAGACCCCUGGUGCCCCCCGGGAAGGGGCCGGAGGUGGGCAAGGGGGUGGCGGGCAGCCUGCGGGGACCUGGGGGUCGCCGUCCCUUGAGCUGCUCCGUGCGGGGGCCAGGGGGGACCCCUGAGAUGGAGGAUGCCCCCCCCGCCGGCUCGCAGAGCAGGGUGCCCGUUUUUGGGUCGGGGGCCAUCAGUUUCUCCUCGGCCCCCCCACACAGCCGGCCUGUGACAGCCACCGUGGCACCCUUCCAGUACCGGCUGCAGGGGGACAGGGAGGAGCAGGCCACGUCCCCGUGUGACACCGACCCCAAACCCGGAGCCUUGAGUGAGUCCAUGGGGGGGUUUCCUUGGGGGGUGUGUGUGGGGAGGUCCUGUGUGCCCCCUGCCCGGGGGCUGGCCUGGGACUUGUGGGGGGCGAUGCUGGGUGCCCC
rnacentral:lncRNA from 1 species